rnacentral:tRNA from 1 species
ACUUUUAAAGGAUAACAGCCAUCCAUUGGUCUUAGGAAUCAAAAAUUUUGGUGCAACUCCAAAUA